UUACCAGGAGAAGAAGAGGAGGGAAGGAAAAGGAGAGGAUCCAGAGGCUUUAGAAACUGUUGGGGAGGUUGGGAAACCGGAUAUCACACUCAGGCCAUUAAACAUGGAAGACAUGAGACAAGCAAAGAAUCAAGUUGCAGCCAGUUUCGCAGAGGGUUCCAUAAUGAGCGAGCUCAAGCAAUGGAAUAGUUUAUAUGGAGAGGGAGGCUCAAGGAAGAAAGAACAGCUAUCUUAUUUCCUUUAAUUAAAUGUCAAUUAUCUUGUGCAUACCGUGAUAAGGCAUAAAAUCACACUUUGCUCCAGUUACUCCGGCUUACUAGAAUCAUGAUAUAUGCCUCCAGGCCAACAUCUGAUCGGAAACGAUUAAAGUAUUGUGAGCAUGAGAAAAUAAGUCAUCCUUUGGGAUCAAGUGUCAUUGCGGUUAGUGGUGAAGUAAUAUGCAAGCAUUGGGUUGCUUGCAUUAGGUUGUAAUGCUAAGGAUGUUUAUUUACUUCCCUUGAUAUUGUUAUAUGUACUUGUAUUGUAUUGGGUUGUGUUGCAUCUUUGUUGUAGCUUAUUACUGUAAGGGCUUGUUUGGUUUGUGAAAAACGUGCAGUAAGUGGGGGAAAAAACUGACAUAGUAAAAUUUUGAUGUUUUCCUCCACUUUCAGUUGUUUGGUUCGUCGAAGCUUGUUGAAAUAUUAAUAGGUUUAGGGGCUUAUUUGUAAGUUGUAGGGGCCUAUAUAAGCCCAUGUUAUCUCAUGAAUAAGAUGAGUGUUUUCA